rnacentral:rRNA from 1 species
GAUGAACGCUGGCGGCGUGCCUAAUACAUGCAAGUCGAGCGAACGGACGAGAAGCUUGCUUCUCUGAUGUUAGCGGCGGACGGGUGAGUAACACGUGGAUAACCUACCUAUAAGACUGGGAUAACUUCGGGAAACCGGAGCUAAUACCGGAUGAUAUUUUGAACCGCAUGGUUCAAAAGUGAAAGACGGUCUUGCUGUCACUUAUAGAUGGAUCCGCGCUGCAUUAGCUAGUUGGUAAGGUAACGGCUUACCAAGGCAACGAUGCAUAGCCGACCUGAGAGGGUGAUCGGCCACACUGGAACUGAGACACGGUCCAGACUCCUACGGGAGGCAGCAGUAGGGAAUCUUCCGCAAUGGGCGAAAGCCUGACGGAGCAACGCCGCGUGAGUGAUGAAGGUCUUCGGAUCGUAAAACUCUGUUAUUAGGGAAGAACAUAUGUGUAAGUAACUGUGCACAUCUUGACGGUACCUAAUCAGAAAGCCACGGCUAACUACGUG